GAUUGGUUUUGCCAUACUAGGUUAAUUCGAAUUGAUCUGUUUAUUUUUCAUAUGUGGAUAAUACUAAACAAAGUUUGGUUUGGUUCGGCCCUGUUUUAUUAGUUCUUUCAAAAACAGUAAGAAAGAAGAAAUCCUCAUUCAGGAGUCAGGUUGUUUUAGUGUGAGGAUAUUUGAAUUACCAUAUUUGUAAUUUCCUGGUUUAAAACUUCGAUAGCCAUAUCAAUAACCCAAGAACUGCAGAUUCAUUAUGAACAAGCAUGUAGGAUCUUCGGCCUGAAAUAGGAAAGUGUGCUUGGAGACUCAUGAAGGUAUCUAUUGAAUAU
rnacentral:misc_RNA from 1 species